CCGCCUCCUCCCGCACUCGCUCAUCCCUCCUCCUCCUCUACGCCUCCUCCGCCCGAACCCUAACCCUAGCAGCUCGCCACACCGCCGUCGUCUCCUUCGCCCAGCCCGCCGGACCCCCGCCGUCCACUUCCCCGGCGUCACCGCCUCCUCGUGCGCGCUCUCCUCUCGCAGCCUCUUCCCGUCACAAGGCUACACCACCGCCGCCGCCGGCAAAAUGCAACAGAGGGUGCCACCACAGGGAUGGGUGAGAGGAGCUGUGGUGAGCGCCCUUCCUUUGCCUCCUCUUGCUUGUACGCCAACAUGUGAGAGCUAGGAGGAAGGGGUGGAGGCCAUGGAGGUCGUGGGUUAGAGGAACAGGAUGCCACAGGGGAAGAAGAAGAUGCCCCACUCGUUCCUGGAGUUGGUCUUCGCGUCAUUUCAUUAUUGGUCCGCUGUAACUGGAUUCUUGUGCUUUUGGUCAAUCCCCUGGUCGGUGCGUCCGUUGAUAUGUGCCUGCGCAUUGUUUGGUAGCAGCCUGGUGCGUCUCCCUUCGUGGAUCUGCAGGUGCUCGUUGUCUGGCCGGUUCAUCAUUUGAUUUGUGCCAGCUUGCUACGUCUUCGUCCACCACUUUGCAGGUCGACCCCUUUCUUCUCCUCUUCUCUGAUUUUAGGCCAGGCUUGCAUUUUCACGGCCAUGUAUUUUCCUUAGCUUGCCUGUCUGGAGCUGCUGUUAGAAUCAGUUUAUUUUGCCUGUCGUUUCUGUUGGUGUGCAUGCUGGUCAAUGGGUGUGUUUUUCUUGUACUCUUAUAUUGGUAGAUGGCUAGAGUAUAAGAAUAUUAUUACUUGCUUGUAUUUUUGUGGUACCCUUUUCAUCUUUGCUUUUUUGUGUGUGGAAUAUAGGUAUGUGCUUUUUGUUCCUUCCUUGGAUCUUGGUAGAACCUAUGAUUUCUCGUAACUUUCUGCUAUGUCCUAGAAGUAACCUAUUGAUUUGUUUGCUGGUGCUACUCGCAUGUCACGUGUUGUUGGGUUCUUCCUUACAUGCGUGAUUCCGAGCGAUAUCUGCUUCACCUCUGCCGCCGGUGGCCACGCUGGUCAUGCUCCUACUGGUUGAGCUCCUUCCCCUUUUAUGUUCAUGUACCAUUUAGUAGGACUGGCUAGGUUGCUGCAAAAAUGUCUUGGGUUUCUUCUUGUGCAGAAGAUUCUUAGGUAGCUAGGUUCCAACAGAGGACUUUUGGGGGGCUUUCUUGUUUUUUGGUGCCUUGCCGUCAAGUAGAUCCUUGGAUUUAGCUAGGUUAUCUUUUUCAUUGCUGGGUUUUCUACCUGUUGAAGAGAAGCUUAGGUCUAUAUAGAUUCCUUUGUGGUAUGCUUUGGUGCUUUGGUGGUUAUUAGUGUGAGCCUUCUAAUUGGUGUUGUUGGAUAACAGAGAAGAUCUGAAGAGAUAUUUGGCUCUCAAGUUUUUACAAAAACAAUUUAGCAUUUACCAGCGAUCCUUUAACGGAAACGUUACACCAAGUUGUAACUUGAUUUUGGCUUUAAAUCUCACUAGGAUGAUAAGCAAUGCAUCUAACCUCCCGGGGCCUACGGUCACGUCAGCUUCAUACUGGAUUAUGUGUCUUGGCCUGGUCUGGCUCUACUUUUUUAGAAUGAGAUUCAUAUUGUUGUGUGGCGGAAAACUAGGUAGCACCCUAUGGUAGAAGCAUCAGCUUUAUAUUUGACGCGUGCAUUGCGCUGCAGGUUACUUGAUGUACUCGAUUUUUCCUUGCACAGAUGAUUAUGAGUGAUCCGUGCUUCGCCUCUGCUGCUAGCGGUCGUGUCAGUCAUGUUCCUACUGGGUGCUAGAUACAUUAAGCUGGAACAAAAACAACCAGAGACGUGACCCUUGUUGCUACACAGCUCACACAAGUGUAGCAGGCGUACGUCGUCAGGGCAAGGAGCAAACGUUGGAUGCGAGGGAGCAGCAGAUGUUGUGCUGGUUGCGGCCUGCGGCAGAAUUGGCGUCAGGGAUAGGCAAGACGGCGCCGUGCGCGAAGGCGGGUCAAACAUGGUGGAUCUCGCCGCGGCCAUCAAAAGGAGACGUGCGGCAGUUUGAGGCAGAAGAACGUGGAGGUCCGCUAAGUGCAGCUGUUGUCGAAGGAUUCGCCGGGGCCGCCGCCAUGGAGUGAUUGGAGAAGAUCCAAAUUGAGAAAUUGAUAUUUUAGCAAAGGUCUGCUUUGGCUGAGGGGUCAUUUGCAAAUUCGCAAGAGCGGCUGUCAUGCGUGAGAUCUUAAUCGGCAGGCUGAGGAGCCGCGGGAUACAGGGAUGCACGAGCCACUGAUAUUCAUCAAACACAUAAUUUAAAUAGAGCUCGUGAAAAAAUUGCCCAUGGAAAUAGUCACUUUGGAUUGGUUGUGUCAAAAGAAUGCAACAUUUGUAACAUCUCUUCUCAUAUUCAUGAGACUUUCACUCUGUUGUUGCAUUA